GGGAGUAGCGCAGUUGGUUAGAGCGUCAGAUUGUGGUCCUGAAGGUCGUGGGUUCGACUCCCAUCUCC
rnacentral:tRNA from 2 species